rnacentral:rRNA from 1 species
CAAAGGCAUGGUCCCGACCUUAUUAUCAGCUCUAACACAACUCAC